rnacentral:lncRNA from 13 species
UUUGGGGGAAAGGGUGUAGAAUCAGACUCCAAUAGCCUACCGUGGCAUGAACAAGCCUUUUGAGGCACAUCUCUCUGAUAAGGUGAUAAAUGUGAGCAACAGUGCUGUCAUCCUCUCUGAAUGCCUAAAUCUAACAUUCAAAUUCUUUCAUGUUCUCCAGGGCAAGGUUGAGGAGUGCCAUUUGUAUUACAUUGUUGCAGAGAGGGAGCAUGUGGCUAUGAUAACUAUCAAUCUGACUGACAAUCUGACUGACACCUCGGACAACACAUCAGGAAAUGGAGACAAAGCCACUAGCCACACAAAGGAAAUCACUGCUGGUGUUCUGGUUAUCUUAGUUCUGCUGCUGGGCAUUGUUGGUUUCUUAGUGUACAGAUAUGUCAACAUUCCUUGGAGAGACAAACAUUCGUUUGCUCUUGCACAGCUAACUCAGAUGGGUCGGGACUACCUUAACACCAACAGGGAAAACCAGAGGGACAACGGAGAACCUGAUGAUCCAGCUGCUGGGGACGCUGAGUCUCUCCGAUCUGCGCUUGUCAUUGGCAGGGACCAGGGGGAUGGGGUGGAAGAGGAGAGGGAGCCACCACACAGUCAGGAGUCCUCUCUGCUGAAUGGGCAUCUUGUGAACAGACAAGGAGAGAGAGGUGAGCCAAGCAAGAUGUUCGUUCAGCCAAUGGGCCGUGAGGGAACAGAUACUGAAUUCUCUCAGAAGAGACAUGCUGGAUUUCCUCUGGUGAAUGGAAACCAUAAGGCCAGGGUUAACGAUGAGACUAAGGAAGCGACUCCUGGUGCACAGAGUCCAGGACCUCCUCAGAUGAAUGGAGGACCUCCCAUGUCUGACAGGUUGGAGAACAACCCUGUUGGUCAGCGCAUGAAGAAAACUGCUCUGGUGAACAAGCAGGACCAGGACUGGUCAGCAACGGCAUGUAGCCAGUUGAAAAUAUAUAGUAUAUAAGAUGAAACUAAGUGUAAAUAUAAUAAAAAAUAACAUGAUAUACACUGUAAUAUAGAACAGUAUAAUAUGACAUUAUAUAAUAUCGUAACACUUACUUGAAGCUGCUUCUUGUAUAGUGCUAUAUGUUCUAAUGAAUGCAUUCUUAACAACAUGAAUGAUGCAUUAAUGCAUACAUAGGACAUAACUGUAUAGUAAAAUGCUAGUAUAAUACUGUGCUGGUAAGCUGCUAGCUGUGGGGUUGCCCCCAGCUGUGGUUUCUAUCAUUCAGAGUAUCUAUGCUCAACUGUGGUUCAAAUCCAUAGUUUUUAGCUUAGUUGUUACCGUAAACUAGCACUUCUUAGAGACAAAGUUAUGGGAAAUGCUGUAUAACUACUUACCAUUCUGAAGUGUAACAGUCAAGUUUAUAUGUAACAAUUGUUAAUCCCUUUUUUAAAUGUUUAUUUAUAUAUUUGUUUGCUUGAUUAGAUUGAAUUUGUAUGACUAAUGCAUUAUUUGACCCUCCCGUUUAGAGGGAUAUUAUUUUACCCUCCCGUUUAGAGGGAUAUUAUUUUACCCUCCCGUAUAGAGGGAUAUUAUUUUACCCUCCCGUUUAGAGGGAUAUUAUUUUACCCUCCCAUACAGAGGGAUAUUAUUUUACCCUCCCGUUUAGAGGGAUAUUAUUUUACCCUCCCGUAUAGAGGGAUAUUAUUUUACCCUCCCGUAUAGAGGGAUAUUAUUUUACCCUCCCGUAUAGAGGGA